rnacentral:misc_RNA from 1 species
AGAGAGAGAGAGAAAAGAAAAAAAAAAAGAAUUAAAGAAAUCAUGCAGCAGGGGGCCAGUGCUCAUGGUCAAGGGAUGUAUCACGAGCAGCUAGAGGUAAUUGCCACAUUGGCAUCAGACCAUAGCUCGGAAAAACAGCCAUCUUGUUCACUCCAGCAUGAUAGGCUGCUGGAUGCGCUGGCAUGAAUCCAGAAGAUGGAACAGCCAUAACCUUCAAUUGUUGCUCCAUCCUUUCUUUAUCUGCCUUCAGUGUGAGUUUCUCUUCACGAAGUUCAUUCUUCUCAGCCUUCAAAGUUUUUAUUUCUUCCCGUAGCUUUUCAUUUGUUUCUUUGAGCUCCUGAGCUUCAGUUUUCAAUCGAGUUAGAAUUCUAAUAGCAUCAUCAAGUAUUGCAGCUUUGUCAGUUCUAGCAGGUCUCCCAGGCUCCAAAACAGAGCUCAGAUCCUGGAACCUGUCAUUUAACUUCUCCCUCCUCAACUUCUCACGGCAAGCUUUGGUCACUGGCUUGCUGCAAGAAUCACUGCAUCCCCUCUUUCGUGAGCAUUGUUUUUCUUGCGAUGCAGCACCACCAGAUGAAAAAGCAAUAUCCAGACCAACACUGCAAACAUCAGCGAAUCAGAUCAAAUAAAAAAACAAAUCAUAAUCACCCAGCUAAUACUGAAAAGCACAAUGGACAAAAAUGUCAUAUAUCGUUGCUUGCAAGCAGAUCAUAUAUCAUAAAUUUCUAAACUUUUUGAUAUUUCUGCUCUUUCUUCUUCAAUUAUGUGAAGUGAAAACCACAAUAGAAUCCGGUAAAAGAAAAUUAAUGCACAAAAAACUAGAUCGAUGGAUUAAUUUACAUGCAACAAAAAUCAAUGAUAAAUGAAAUCGUAUAAGUAAAUCCAUG